GACGUAGGGCGCGAGCGUUGUCCGGAUUUAUUGGGCGUAAAGAGCUCGUAGGCGGCUUGUCGCGUCGAAUGUGAAAACUCGGGGCUCAACUCCGAGCUUGCAUUCGAUACGGGCAGGCUAGAGUUCGGUAGGGGAGACUGGAAUUCCUGGUGUAGCAGUGAAAUGCGCAGAUAUCAGGAGGAACACCGGUGGCGAAGGCGGGUCUCUGGGCCGAUACUGACACUGAGGAGCGAAAGCGUGGGGAGCGAACAGG
rnacentral:rRNA from 1 species